rnacentral:lncRNA from 1 species
UUUCCUGUCCACCUAUUCGCUUUGGAAAAAAGGAUGCCUAACAACAAGGAGGGUCACUGUGGUAAUGACUGUCUUGAGACAGGCAGAAUUCUGACUGGACUGAGUUCAGCAGCCACCACGCAAGAGGCUGAUUUGCAUGUGGUUCUCUGAUGUGCUUUGGGAGACGACACCUCCUCUCAUCAAGCAUUAUCUGUCUGGCAUGCUUUUAACAGGACUGAAGUAAACAUAUAUAUUGGAGAAAUAUAGGAAAGGUGUGUUCUGAAAAACAAAUAUGUACACAGAGAUGAUGAAGCCAUAACACGAAUGUGUUACAUCCUUAGAGCAUCUUGGCUCAUUCCCGUAUUUGUUCAUAAACAUUUCACAAGCACAUCCUUUGUGCCAGGAACUUGCCAUAUUGUUUUGUAACCAAUGACACAUCUGUCUCCCCUGUUGGACUGUGAGUUCUUGCAGUCUAGUAAAGAGGGCAGGUAAUUCGAUAAAGGGUUAAAAGCCACUGUAAAUGUAGGAUUAGAGGAAUGUAGGCAGACGGUGAUGGGGACGUGGACAUGGGGCUGAUGGAGCACCCAACUGCCCAGCUGUGGGCUGACAGGAUAGUGUGGGUGGUUGAGGGUUGAGCUGGCUUUUGAAGUGUACAGAGAAUUCGCCAGCCAGAUAAGAGCGGAACGCAUCUGAGAGUGAAAAGAUUAUGCAAAGGCUCAGGCGUAUAAAAGAACCAUGUCACAUUCAGGAACUCUGAGGAGUGAGGAGUAGCAAGAGAGCAGUGGGUACUUGGAGCAAAUACGAUUGGAGACAAGGCUGGUGAGGCAGGCGGGAGAAAGCAGGGCUCAGUGUGCCCUGUACUGGAAUCUGCUCUUGCUCUGGUUGGACAACAUCAUUGUCACUAUCAACAUGACUUUGUCCCUUCUUGCUGUCUCCCUUUUAUCCCUCCAAAUGCUCAAUCGAAAUACCUGAACUACCCGAAAGUUAAAUGCACCACUGCAUCUAUUCAGGUUCAAGAACAGUAUUUCACAUUACCUGUGAAGCCCUCAAUGAAGGCUGACUGCUGUACAUCCCCGCUAAUCGUCAAGACAAGAAUUUUGUAUUGGCGGCCUGGUGUUAGGGAAGUAAAUCGAUACUCGGUUGCGGUAUUUACAAGGUGAAAAGGAGGAAAUACUUUCAUGUCAUUGAAGAGCAGCUGGAUCUCAUAUUGGUCGACAUCCCCAUUAGCUCCUGACCAAGUCACAUGCAAGUCCUCAGUGCUCCUGUUGCGCAAUGUUAGAUCCUUAACAGGCUCUGGAACUAGGGAGAAAAAUGAGAAGACAUUUCAGGAAAGGAACUGAUCAGAGUUUACCUACAUAAUAAUUUAUGAAUCACAUUCAAGGAACUGGCAACAUCUCCCUUCCCCAAAUAAACCACUAGCACUACUUCAUGCAUAAUUAAACAAGAAAAAUUGGAAGCAACUAUUAACAUUGUGGUUUUUUCCUGACAUAAAUGUUACAUGAUCAGCAUUGGUAGAACAUAAUUAUAAAAUGAGUUAUGAUCUCAAUCAUAAGAUAAAACAAGAAGUCUAGAAUCUAAAUGCCAUGAUGCAGGAAGAUAGGGAAGAAAAAUGGGACAUUUAGCCUUCUUGCUCCCUCACUAUGUUUGCUUUUAUCUACCAAUAAAUAUUCUGUAAUUAUAGGCCAUGGCUUGGCUGAAUGAUGUUAGCACCAAGUGAGACUUACUGGGAAUGUAAUGUACUAAUGAAUAAGCAGAAAAAAUUCAAGGUUCAGAUAAAUUACUAGAGACUUUCAAGUCCAACCAACUGUCAGAUUUUGCAAUCGUUC